rnacentral:rRNA from 1 species
AUUGAACGCUGGCGGCAGGCCUAACACAUGCAAGUCGAGCGCGAAAGUUCUUCGGAAUGAGUAAAGCGGCGGACGGGUGAGUAAUACAUGGGAAUCUGCCUGGUAGUGGGGGACAACGUUUCGAAAGGAACGCUAAUACCGCAUACGCCCUACGGGGGAAAGGGGGGGACCUUCGGACCUCUCGCUAUCAGAUGAGCCCA